rnacentral:rRNA from 1 species
AGCGACAGGCCUAACACAUGCAAGUCGAGGGGCAGCACAAGGAGCAAUCUGAGGUGGCGACCGGCGCACGGGUGAGUAACACGUAUGCAACCUGCCUGUAAGCGGGGAAUAACCCGUUGAAAGACGGACUAAUACCGCAUAAUACUAAAUUACUGCAUGGUAAUUUAUUUAAACAUUUAUGGCUUACAGAUGGGCAUGCGCAUGAUUAGCUAGUUGGAGAGGUAACGGCUCCCCAAGGCAACGAUCAUUAGGGGUUCUGAGAGGAAGGUCCCCCCACACUGGUACUGAGACACGGACCAGACUCCUACGGGAGGCAGCAGUGAGGAAUAUUGGUCAAUGGACGAGAGUCUGAACCAGCCAAGUCGCGUGCAGGAAGAAUUGUCCUAUGGAUUGUAAACUGCUUUUGCAGGGGAAUAAAGUGCAUCACGUGUGAUGUUUUGUAUGUACUCUGCGAAUAAGGAUCGGCUAACUCCGUGCCAGCCGCGGC